rnacentral:rRNA from 1 species
UACGGGGGGUGCGAGCGUUGUCCGGAAUUACUGGGCGUAAAGGGCGCGUAGGCGGCCGUUUGCGUCGGAUGUGAAAGCCCGGGGCUCAACCUCGGAACGGCAUUCGAUACGGGACGGCUGGAGACCGGGAGAGGAGAGUGGAAUAGCCAGUGUAGAGGUGAAAUUCGUAGAUAUUGGCUGGAACACCGGAGGCGAAGGCGGCUUGCUGGACCUGGUCUGACGCUGAGGCGCGAAAGCGUGGGGAGCGAACAGG